CAUGAGGGCGGUGAGGGCGACGAGGAGGAGCAGGGCACAGCCGAUGCCGGUGAGGAGGCAGCAGAGACGCCAGGCGAGGCUGGGGAUGCCGAAGAAGGAGGCAUAGCGACCACACUGUUGCACCAUGCGCAGCCCGCGGGGGGCGAGCGGAGCGGGAAAAAACGCUACCACGUAUGGCUGUGAUUUUUGGCCAUCUUACUCACAGUCCUCCUCCGCUGAUUGGUGUGCUGUGAGGAUGAAUCUUUGCUGCCUGCACUCUGCUUGGAGUGCCGUGAGGUUGGAUUUGCUGCCUGCACUCUGCGUGGUGCUGUGAGGUUGGAUUUGUGGCCUGCACUCCGCUUCGAGUGCUGUGAGAUUGGAUUUGCAGGCCUGCACUGAAUGAUGACUUUUGAGCAAAGAGACAUCAAGAGGCAGUGAGCAGCAGAACACAACAAGAGACACAACAAGAAAGAACUUAAUAAAUCUCAUCUUUAACAUUUAAAUUGUUGUUAUAUUUUAAGUCAUUCACAUUUUAAACUUUAAUAAAUCCUUUUUCCACUUGCCAUGCCUGUGUGUUCUUCAUCACAAUGGGAACCUAAUAGG